UUACUAGGUUAAAACAUCGACUGUUUGCAUUAUUCAUUUGUUGGACAGCUUGCUGAUGAAUGUGAGAAGCUCUCGCAACCUCCAAGCUCACAUACUGUUGGUUCUUCUAAUGGCUUUGAAAACCUGCGUAAAUCAAAUCAACCUUUCUCACAGUCUACAUCUGGUACUAGUUUUUGUAAAAAGUUGGAAGAAAAUACAGAUUCCAGG